UUCUCCUUCAAUUUUUAAGAAUACCAUUAUCUCUUCUUUCACAAAUUUCCAAUGUAUACUUUGAUAUUAGUAGAUAAAUACGUAAAUUGACAACGAAACAGCUUAUCCAUGGAGUAAGAACGUAAUGUUUCAGUAAUAAUCAAAAGAUUCUACAUGAAAAAGGGAAAACAGAGAAGGACAAGUCCUUAUAACUCUCCAUUAUUUUAUUAGCAGGCUUCAGCAAAGCACUUUCGUGGAACCUAUAUAUAAUCUAAUAUCCUCAAGGAUAAUUAAUGCGUAGUAUUGUGGCAUGCCAUUUUCAAUGGAAUAGGGGGAUCAGAGAAGGCUCCUGUAGAAAUCUGGUCGAAAAUAAAUUUAUUGGCAGCUUCAGUGUAGUGACCUCCAUCCCAAUUUACUCGAACUGAAGGGCGAUCACAAGAGCCCACAACUAUUUGGGUACCAUUUGCUGUAACUGUAUCUCCACAUCGAACAUUACUACUAAAAUUGUACUUUCCUCCGUAGCCACAACAUACUAUAAGUGGAAGCUCGAAACCAUGUUUUUCUGGUUCACUGAAUAAAGAAUACUUGACAGAAUAGAUGUCAACAUAGGUGAAAACCGCUAAUGGCAAAUCCUUCCUGAGCUGAGCUACGCUCUCCUUCAAGUUGAGAUUAAAAUGCUGAGCAACUUCAUUGUAAGCUUUUGCACAGCCUGCACUAUCUUUUUCAGCCAAGGGAAAACUCUCAAAAAUAUAUGCAAGACAACCAAGUGGUCCUGUGUUGUGAAUCCAAAAUGAUCUAGCUCCCAAAUUGUAUAUUUUCUUAACGUUUGCUGAGAAGCUAUUGACAAUACCAGGGACAGUUGCAUUCACUUCUUCCACAGACAAGUUACCAGAAGAUCCAGCUCCAAUAUCAUUUUGACCGAUAUCGAAUGUGUAUAAAGCCUUCUCAAAAUAAUCUCUCUCAGGCACCGAUUCAGCAAACAUAGCUCCUUUUUCCCUGAUAAUCUGUGAUCUGGAUAUGAAUUGCAGGAAUUGCUCAUAUUGCACAUCAAGGUAGAAUGGACUAUAUCCACCAUUAGGUACAAUACUAGUUGGUAUUUGAAUGGUGGAUGCUGCUGUGGCAAAAUUUGCACCAUGUUUGAAGUUGGCUCCCAGAGAAUUAAGAUAUGCACUCAGAUAAGGGAGAUUGAAACUCUUGGCUACCAUGCCAAUCAGAUGGUCAAUAAUUGGAGAUUGCAAACACUUGAAUCAUUAACCAAAUUAAAUAAUUAAAACUACUGACCUAUAAAAUCUAUUAUGAGCCUUCCAUCAGAGUACCUCCCUGCUGGCAUAUGAAAGAAAGUCUCUCCAUAAGGAGAGUUAGGAGGAGAAAAAGCAGCUGCCAAGCCACCGGUAUCGGAAUUGGAGUCACCGAAGUUAAAGAUUGCCGGAAAAUCACAGUUUUUGGAAGCAUAAGUGAGGGAAAGCAUGCAUAAUAAGAAAGAGAGAGUGGUGAUAAGCUUGUUAUUAGUUUCAGGAAACUCCAUGGAUUGGAAGCAAAAACUAGGAGCUAAGUGCAGCAGUGGAAAGUAUCUUUGUAUGUAUAAUAGUGAAAGAGAGACAUUUUCAAGUUUCAUUCCUGAUUGAUUACAUAUACAUGUUAAUAGCAGUUAGAAUUUCCUUGUUCCCAACAUUACGUACACAAAUUGAAUUGACAAGAUGAGAACAAUAUUUCAUGGCUUGGAAUAAAAUUUCUGGCGUCUGAAUUAUGAAUUUUCCAAUGUCCCAUUUCAUGUCUAAA
rnacentral:misc_RNA from 1 species